rnacentral:tRNA from 6 species
GCGGGCGUGGCGGAAUUGGUAGACGCGCUGGAUUUAGGUUCCAGUGCCGCAAGGCGUGGGGGUUCGAGUCCCUCCGCCCGCACCA